UACAGAGGUCCCAAGCGUUGUUCGGAUUCACUGGGCGUAAAGGGUGCGCAGGUGGUCGGGUAAGUCUGACGUGAAAUCCCGCAGCUUAACUGCGGAAUGGCAUUGGAUACUAUUCGGCUAGAGGGUUGGAGGGGGGACUGGAAUUCUCGGUGUAGCAGUGAAAUGCGUAGAUAUCGAGAGGAACACCAGUGGCGAAGGCGAGUCCCUGGACAACUCCUGACGCUGAGGCACGGAAGCUAGGGGAGCAAACAGG
rnacentral:rRNA from 1 species